rnacentral:rRNA from 1 species
UUGCAAGGUCAAGUGAAGAAGGGCGCACGGUGAAUGCCUUGGCACUGGAAGCCGAUGAAGGACGCGACUAACCGCGAAAGUCUUCGGGGAGCCGUAAGUAGGCUUUGAUCCGGAGGUCUCCGAAUGGGGGAACCCAGCAUGUGCAGACAUGCUAUCCUUAAGUGAAUACAUAGCUUAAGGAAGGAACACGCAGCGAACUGAAACAUCUAAGUAGCUGCAGGAAGAGAAAGAAAUAUCGAUUUCCCAAGUAGCGGCGAGCGAACAGGAAAGAGCCCAAACCGGCAGAUUUAUCUGCCGGGGUUGUAGGACUGAGACAUGGCACUUCAGAGGAUAGCAGAAGCGUUUGGGAAGACGCGCCAGAGAGGGUGAGAGCCCCGUAAGCGAAAUCCAAAGAAGGCCUAUCAGUAUCCUGAGUAGGGCGGGACACGUGAAAUCCCGUUUGAAUCCGCGAGGACCAUCUCGCAAGGCUAAAUACUAACCAGUGACCGAUAGUGAACCAGUACCGUGAGGGAAAGGUGAAAAGAACCCCGGGAGGGGAGUGAAAGAGAACCUGAAAACCGUGUGCCUACAAGUAGUCAGAGCCCGUUAACGGGUAAUGGCGUGCCUUUUGUAGAAUGAACCGGCGAGUUGCGUUAGUCAGCAAGGUUAAGUCAGAAAAGACGGAGCCGCAGCGAAAGCGAGUCUGAAGAGGGCGAGCAGUUGGCUGACGCAGACCCGAAACCAAGUGACCUACCCAUGACCAGGUUGAAGGCGCGGUAAAACGCGCUGGAGGACCGAACCCACGUAAGUUGAAAAUUGCGGGGAUGAGUUGUGGGUAGCGGUGAAAUUCCAAACGAACUUGGAGAUAGCUGGUUCUCUCCGAAAUAGCUUUAGGGCUAGCCUCGCAAAGAGGAUGCUGGAGGUAGAGCUCUGUUUGGACUAGGGGCCCGUCAAGGGUUACUGAAUUCAGAUAAACUGCGAAUUCCAGACAUUUAUGUGCGGGAGUCAGACUGCGAGUGAUAAGAUCCGUAGUCGAAAGGGAAACAGCCCAGAUCACCAGUUAAGGUCCCAAAAUUCAUGCUAAGUGGAAAAGGAUGUGGAGUUGCGCAGACAACUAGGACGUUGGCUCAGAAGCAGCCAUCAUUCAAAGAGUGCGUAAUAGCUCACUAGUCGAGUGACGCCGCGCCGAAAAUUUGCCGGGGCUAAGCAUGAUACCGAAACUGUGGAUGUGCAUUUAUGCACGUGGUAGGAGAGCGUUCUAGCGGCGGUGAAGCAUGACUGAGAAGACAUGUGGAGCUUCUAGAAGUGAGAAUGCCGGUAUGAGUAACGAAAGACAGGUGAGAAUCCUGUCCGCCGCAAGACUAAGGUUUCCUGGGGCAGGCUCGUCCGCCCAGGGUAAGUCGGGACCUAAGGCGAGGCCGAGAGGCGUAGUCGAUGGACAACAGGUUGAAAUUCCUGUACUGCACCGAAUCGUUAUGAGCGAUGGAGGGACGCAGGAGGCUAGCAGCGCGUGGUGCUGGAUACCACGUUCAAGCGUCAAGUCUGAGAGCGAGUCAAAUGCUUGCUCUCAUAAGGACAAGGCGUGAUGAGGAGCGAAAUUAAAGUAGCGAAGGCUGCGACGUCACACUGCCGAAGAAAAGCUUCUAGCCAGAAACGGUGCACCCGUACCGCAAACCGACACAGGUAGUCGAGGAGAGUAUCCUCAGGUGAGCGAGAGAACUCUCGUUAAGGAACUCGGCAAAAUGGCCCCGUAACUUCGGGAGAAGGGGCGCUGGUCGCAAGAUCAGCCGCAGUGAAAAAGGCCCAAGCAACUGUUUAUCAAAAACACAGGCAUCUGCAAAAUCGUAAGAUGAAGUAUAGGUGCUGACACCUGCCCGGUGCUGGAAGGUUAAGAGGGAGAGCUUAGCGCAAGCGAAGGUUUGAAUUGAAGCCCCAGUAAACGGCGGCCGUAACUAUAACGGUCCUAAGGUAGCGAAAUUCCUUGUCGGGUAAGUUCCGACCUGCACGAAAGGUGUAAUGAUUUGGGCACUGUCUCAACGAGAGACUCGGUGUGAAAUUAUAAUACCCGUGAAGAUGCGGGUUACCCGCGACAGGACGGAAAGACCCCAUGGAGCUUUACUGCAGUUUAAUAUUGGGUAUCUGUCAAGCAUGUACAGGAUAGGUAGGAGCCGGAGAAGAUAGGACGCCAGUCUUAUCUGAGGCGCUGGUGGGAUACUACCCUUGCUUGACGGAUGCUCUAACUCAGGCCUGUGAUCCAGGCCGAGGACAGUGUUUGACGGGCAGUUUGACUGGGGCGGUCGCCUCCUAAAGUGUAACGGAGGCGCCCAAAGGUUCCCUCAGAAUGGUUGGAAAUCAUUCGCAGAGUGUAAAGGCAAAAGGGAGCUUGACUGCGAGAGAGACAACUCGAGCAG